rnacentral:tRNA from 4 species
GGGUCUGUAGCUCAGUUGGUUAGAGCAGGGGACUCAUAAUCCCUUGGUCACUGGUUCGAGUCCAGUCAGACCCA